rnacentral:misc_RNA from 1 species
AAGUCGUAACAAGGUCUCCGUUGGUGAACCAGCGGAGGGAUCAUUACUGAGUUACUACUCUCAACCCUUGUGAACAUUACUUGUGUUGCUUCGGCAGGUUUUCCCUGGGAGGGAAUUUGGCCUUUAAUGGUAAUCUGCCAGAGGCUUUAAACUCUAUCUUUCCUAUUUUCUGAGGACAUUUCAAAAGAUUAAAAACUUUCAGCAACGGAUCUCUUGGUUCUG